rnacentral:lncRNA from 1 species
AGUUGUUUUGUACGAUCACUUCUGUAAUUAAUGUGUCAUCCGAGAUUCAGUCUAAACUCCUAGGCCGAGUUGUGGGUGUUACAAUUCACAUUCUUAAUCCUAAGAGGAUUUACGUAUGGGUUCACUUACAAGCUCACAUACAGGUUCGCAUACAUGGGGCUUUACACUCAUGGUUUCGCACACAGGGGUUUGCAUAAGGG